UCUACAGCAAGGCAUCGGGAAUCACUCC
rnacentral:piRNA from 1 species